AUUGAACGCUGGCGGCAGGCCCAACACAUGCAAGUCGAACGGUAACAGGAAGCAGCUUGCUGCUUCGCUGACGAGUGGCGGACGGGUGAGUAAUGUCUGGGAAACUGCCUGAUGGAGGGGGAUAACUACUGGAAACGGUAGCUAAUACCGCAUAACGUCGCAAGACCAAAGAGGGGGACCUUCGGGCCUCUUGCCAUCGGAUGUGCCCAGAUGGGAUUAGCUAGUAGGUGGGGUAACGGCUCACCUAGGCGACGAUCCCUAGCUGGUCUGAGAGGAUGACCAGCCAAACUGGAACUGAGACACGGUCCAGACUCCUACGGGAGGCAGCAGUGGGGAAUAUUGCACAAUGGGCGCAAGCCUGAUGCAGCCAUGCCGCGUGUAUGAAGAAGGCCUUCGGGUUGUAAAGUACUUUCAGCGGGGAGGAAGGCGAUAAGGUUAAUAACCUUGUCGAUUGACGUUACCCGCAGAAGAAGCACCGGCUAACUCCGUGCCAGCCGCCGCCGUAA
rnacentral:rRNA from 1 species